rnacentral:rRNA from 1 species
CCCGGGAGGCUGCAGUGGGGGAUAUUGCACAAUGGGGGGAACCCUGAUGCAGCGACGCCGCGUGGGUGAAGAAGCGCCUCGGCGCGUAAAGCCCUGUCAGCAGGGAAGAAAAUGACGUUACCUGAAGAAGAAUCCCCGUCUAACUACGUGCCAGUAGCCGCGGUAAUACGUAGGGGGCAAGCGUGAUCCGGAUUUACUGGGUGUAAAGGGGGCGCAGACGGCGAUGCAAGCCAGGAGUGAAAGCCCGGGGCCCAACCCCGGGACUGCACUUGGAACUGCGUGGCUGGAGUGCAGGAGGGGCAGGCGGAAUUCCUGGUGUAGCGGUGAAAUGCGUAGAUAUCAGGAGGAACACCGGUGGCGAAGGCGGCCUGCUGGACUGCAACUGACGUUGAGGCCCGAAAGCGUGGGGAGCAAACAGGAUUAGACACCCCUGUAGUC